UACGAAGGGUGCAAACGUUGCUCGGAAUCAUUGGGCGUAAAGCGCACGUAGGCGGCUUCAAAAGUCGGAUGUGAAAUCCCUGGGCUCAACCGAGGAAGUGCAUCCGAAACUGCGGAGCUUGAGUAUGGAAGAGGGUCGCGGAAUUCCCGGUGUAGAGGUGAAAUUCGUAGAUAUCGGGAGGAACACCAGUGGCGAAGGCGGCGACCUGGGCCAAUACUGACGCUGAGGUGCGAAAGCGUGGGGAGCAAACAGG
rnacentral:rRNA from 1 species